AUUGAACGCUGGCGGCGUGCCUAACACAUGCAAGUCGAGCGGUAACAGGUGUAGCAAUACAUGCUGACGAGCGGCGAACGGGUGAGUAAUGCUUUGGAAUCUUCCCAGUAGUGGGGAAUAAACCAGUCGAAAGAUUGGCUAAUACCGCAUUACGUCUGUAAAGGGAAAGCGGGGGACUCGCCUUCUUCUUCGGAAGAGAGGCCUCGCGCUAUUGGAUGAGCCAAAGCGGAUUAGCUAGUUGGUGGGGUAAUGGCCUACCAAGGCGACAAUCCGUAGCUGGUCUGAGAGGACGACCAGCCACACCGGAACUGAGACACGGUCCGGACUCCUACGGGAGGCAGCAGUGGGGAAUAUUGGACAAUGGGGAAACCCUGAUCCAGCGACGCCGCGUGUGUGAAGAAGGCCUGC
rnacentral:rRNA from 1 species